ACGCUCGACACCUACGGGGGGCAGCAGUGGGGAAUAUUGCACAAUGGAGGAAACUCUGAUGCAGCGAUGCCGCGUGAGGGAAGAAGGUUUUCGGAUUGUAAACCUCUGUCUUUGGGGACGAUAAUGACGGUACCCAAGGAGGAAGCUCCGGCUAACUACGUGCCAUCAGCCGCGGUAAUCUGAGCGGGCUGGCAAGGC
rnacentral:rRNA from 1 species